CCUACGGGAGGCUGCAGUGGGGAAUAUUGGGCAAUGGGCGCAAGCCUGACCCAGCAACGCCGCGUGAAGGAAGAAGGCUUUCGGGUUGUAAACUUCUUUUAAGAGGGAAGAGCAGAAGACGGUACCUCUAGAAUAAGCCACGGCUAACUACGUGACAGCAGCCGCGGUAAUACGUAGGUGGCAAGCGUUGUCCGGAUUUACUGGGUGUAAAGGGCGUGUAGCCGGGCUGACAAGUCAGAUGUGAAAUCCCGUGGCUCAACCACGGAACUGCAUUUGAAACUGUCGGUCUUGAGUAUCGGAGAGGCAGGCGGAAUUCCUAGUGUAGCGGUGAAAUGCGUAGAGAUGAGGAGGAACACCAGUGGCGAAGGCGGCCUGCUGGACGGCAACUGACGGUGAGGCGCGAAAGCGUGGGGAGCAAACAGGAUUAGAUACCCGUGUAGUC
rnacentral:rRNA from 1 species